GAUUAACGCUGGCGGCGUGCCUAGCACAUGCAAGUCGAACGAGGUAGCAAUACCUAGUGGCAGACGGGUGAGUAACGCGUGGUCAACCUACCGUUGAGUGGGGGAGUAACUAGCCGAAACGGUUAGCUAAUACCGCAUACGUCUCCGAGUGGCAUCACUUGGCGAUAAAAGGAGCAAUCCGCUCGAUGACGGGACCGCGUCCCAUUAGCUAGAGUGGUGGGGUAACGGCCUACCAUGGCACCGAUGGGUAGCUGGUUUGAGAGAGCGACCAGCCACACUGGGACUGAGAAACGGCCCAGACUCCUACGGGAGGCAGCAGUGAGGGAAUUUUCCGUCAAUGCGCGCAAGCCUGACGGAGCGACGCCG
rnacentral:rRNA from 1 species